UAAUACGGAGGGUGCAAGCGUUGUCCGGAUUUAUUGGGUUUAAAGGGUGCGUAGGCGGCCUAAUAAGUCGGAGGUGAAACCCACAGGCUUAACCUGUGGAGUGCCUUCGAUACUGUAAGGCUUGGGUUAUCUCUAGGCGGGCGGAAUGGAAGGUGUAGCGGUGAAAUGCAUAGAUAUCUACCAGAACGCCGAUAGCGAAGGCAGCUCGCUGGGGAUAUACCGACGCUGAGGCACGAUAGCGUGGGGAUCAAACAGGAUUAGAUACCCUGGUAGUCCACGCCGUAAACGAUGGCCACUCGGUGUCAGCAUUAGAUGUUGGUGCCCAAGCGAAAGCGUUAAGUGGCCCACCUGGGGAGUACGCCGGCAACGGUGAAACUCAAAGGAAUUGACGGGGGUCCGCACGAAGCGGUGGAGCAUGUGGUUUAAUUCGAUGGUACGCGAGGAACCUUACCCGGGCUAGAAUGUGAAGGAAUAAUUCAGAGAUGGAUUAGUCAGCAAUGACCUG
rnacentral:rRNA from 1 species